GCACUCGUAGCUCAGGUGAAUAGAGCAUCGCGCUUCGAACGCGAGGGUCGGAGGUUUGAGUCCUUCCGAGUGCGCCA
rnacentral:tRNA from 1 species